rnacentral:rRNA from 1 species
AUUGAACGCUGGCGGCAUGCUUUACACAUGCAAGUCGAACGGCAGCGCGAGCUUCGGCCUGGCGGCGGGUGGCGAACGGGUGAGUAAUGCAUCGGAACUUGCCCAGUCGUGGGGGAUAGCCCGCCGAAAGCCGGAUUAAUACCGCAUCCGCCCUGAAGGUGAAACCGGGGGACCGAAAGGCCUCGCGCUAUUGGACCGGCCGAUGUCGGCUUAGCUAGUUGGUGGGGUAAAGGCUUACCAAGGCGCCGAUCCGUAGCUGGUCUGAGAGGACGACCAGCCACACUGGGACUGAGACACGGCCCAGACUCCUACGGGAGGCAGCAGUGGGGAAUUUUGGACAAUGGGGGCAACCCUGAUCCAGCCAUGCCGCGUGCGGGAAGAAGGCCUUCGGGUUGUAAACCGCUUUUGUUCGGGAAGAAAUCCUCUGGGCUAAUACCCCGGGGGGAUGACGGUACCGGAAGAAGAAGCACCGGCUAACUACGUG